rnacentral:rRNA from 1 species
GAUGAACGCUGGCGGCGUGCUUAAUACAUGCAAGUCGAACGGGGAUUUCUUUGUAUUCGUACGAGGAAAAUCCUAGUGGCGAACGGGUGAGUAACGCGUUGGUGACCUGCCCCGAAGAGGGGGAUAACAGCUCGAAAGAGCUGCUAAUACCCCAUGUGAUCACAGAGGUUAGAGGCUCUGUGCUUAAAGGUACUGUCUUCGGACACUCCGCUUCGGGAGGGCCUGCGUCCCAUCAGCUAGUUGGUAGGGUAACGGCCUACCAAGGCGACGACGGGUAGGGGACCUGAGAGGGUGACCCCCCACACUGGCACUGAGACACGGGCCAGACUCCUACGGGAGGCAGCGGUGAGGAAUAUUGCGCAAUGAGCGAAAGCUAGACGCAGCAACGCCGCGUGGGUGAAGAAGGCCCUCGGGUCGUAAAACCCUUUUCUGGGGGACGAGAAAGGACGGUACCCCAGGAAUAAGUCUCGGCUAACUAUGUG